AAAGUCGUAACAAGGUUUCCGUAGGUGAACCUGCGGAAGGAUCAUUACCAAUCCACCUUUAUAAACCACUGUGAACUGUUCCUGUCCUUGGGUGGCAGGAGGAUUGCCCACUGAUUUCAGUGGCUUUCCAAUGGUCACCCAAAACUUUUUGGAAAACCACUUGUAUCAACCUCAUCUGUUGAAACUUUCUUUGCGGCCAUCUUAUGGCCCAAAGAAUCAUAGCAAAAAGAAAUACAACUUUUAACGGUGGAUCUCUUGGCUCAU
rnacentral:misc_RNA from 1 species